AUGGUGCGAGCAUAUGGUUUGCAACUUGUGAUUACCUGCUGCAGCCCCUUUCCAGCUUUUCUCCUCACGCACCCAAACCGGAGUCGCGGCUGCCCCCCUUUAAGAGAUCCGACAGUGCUGUGGAAGUUCCCUCAGGACUUUGGAGACCAGGAGGUCCUGCAGACAGUGCCUAAGUUCUGCUUCCCAUUUGACGUUGAAAGGUAGGACAUCCUUCAUGCUUCCGGGUAAAGAAGUUAAUAGACGUGUGAUUUGGGAAAAUGAGGAUGUUUGUUUAUCCAACACGCAUUCACACACGCACAAGAGGCUGUCGUAAAUGACUCACAGGGUGGAGCCGCACACCUCCUUUGCUUCUGCUUCUGUUUCUAAUGUCAGACCUUUCACUGAGAGGUCCGUAGAAAUAAAGCACCUUUAUAGAAAUUAAGAUCUCCGCCC
ensembl:lncRNA